GAGCAGAGGGUGCAAACGUUUGUUCGGGAAUUACUGGGCGUAAAGCGAGUGUAGGCGGCUCGGUAAGUCGGGUGUGAAACCCCCAGGCUCAACCUGGGGACGCCACCCGAUACUGCUGUGGCUAGAGUCCAGUAGGGGAGUGUGGAAUUCCCGGUGUAGCGGUGAAAUGCGCAGAUAUCGGGAGGAACACCGGUGGCGAAGGCGGGACUCUGGGCCGAUACUGACGCUGAGGAGCGAAAGCGUGGGGAGCAAACAGG
rnacentral:rRNA from 1 species